CACCGAUAUGCCUAAUAAGUGUACUGGCAGGCCUUUAGAGCUACUUCGGACAUGCCUGUGGCGACUUGAGCCCUAAGAAGCAGUAAAAGGCAUGCAUUCAUGUUUUCGAAAUGUGAUUUUUCG
rnacentral:lncRNA from 1 species